rnacentral:tRNA from 1 species
CCCCGACUAGCUCUGCGGGUAGAGCACGAGACUCAUUAUCUCAGGGUAGUGGGUUCGUGUCCCACGUCGGUUA